CGCCCUCAGGCAGCCCUCCACCCGCACAAUCCCUGCCUCUCCCCUCCCCCCUCCGCGGGUGUGUGGGAGGAACCGGGGGGAAGGAGGCUCGUGUUCCGCCCCCGCGGUUCCCGGGGAAACCGGUUUCCACAAACCUUGGCUGCGAACCAAUCGUGGUUCCGUUCGCUCCUCUGGGGCAUCAGAAUAGUAAUAUUUUCGGUGAUCAAGGUUAGAAAAGAACUUGAUAGGAAGGCAGCCAGCAGUCUGUUUCUCCGUUUCGCUCUACUGGACGCGGCCCUGAGGGGGUGUGUCCACCACGGGGUCCCCCGCCGCCCAGCACGGAGUGGCGCUCACCGCGCGCCCCAGCGCCGCCUCCAUCUCGUGAGCGCACGGCAGACCCCGCAGCAGCAGGCCGCCGAACCUCAGCGCGGGGGCAGCUGGGGGGCUGUGCCCAUGCCCACACAGGCCCCUGUUGCUGCUACUGGGCCGAGGUGCUGGGUCACCGCCCCGGCGCGGGCGGGGGCGGGGGGCGUCGUUGGCGGAGGGGCGCCCCUGCCCAGGAUGCGGCCAGCGCUAUAUACACCGGAGCCUCGGCUCAUCCCUGCGGGCACCUCGUGAGGCCGGUGUCGUUUGAAGCCCAGAGAGGGUUCGUCACUCGUGCAGGGCCAGGGCGCGGGGGCCUGUAGUGCCCGGGGCUCGAACCUGGCAGAGCAGGCGCCCGCCCCGCGGCCGCGGUGCCAGGCGCGUUCUCGGAGCCUCGGGGGCUCGCUGCGCCACUGCCUCCGCCUCGAGUGGGCGGGGCCUCCAGGUGGGCGGGGCUUCACCCCAGGUUGGGGGGUCCACGCGGUACCUCGCCUUGACGGAUAGACGCGCACACAUCACCCUACACCACACUAGAUCACACACCCAACACACCCAUCUCUCUCUCACACACACACACACACACCCCUCGUCCUGGUGUGAGGCCUAAAUAGCAUUCUCCUCUCUUCCUGGGAUCCGCCUAGGGGCCCCGUGGGAAGAAGAGAAGACAGUGCUGGGCCUGGACACUAUGGAUUCAUUCAUUUCCGACCUCGACUGUUUCCUCCGUGCUGGCCUCAAGGCCCCAGGUUGCGGUUCUCUGCCUGCAGGAAGCUUGUUGGAGGUCGUGACCAGUGCAGGUUGCGCAAUUCCGUCUCCAGGUUUCUGUUCUUCCUCAAGCGUCCUGCCCUUGGCGUUCCCUCCUCCACUCCCGCAACAUCCUGGCCUCCGUUCCCGCCCAGCCGCUGUGCAGUGGCCCCUGGUCAGCCAGCCCUCCCCGCCUCCCACCCCUGCUCUCCCACAUUUCAGGUGCUUCCAGUUCCCCCAUUAUUCAUGACGCUGUCACACUAGUUAGGGGCCUGUGGGAAAACAGAUGGCUUCCGCGAACCAGGGAAAUUCCAGGAGGAUUAUUUACAAAGGGGACUACUUACCAAAUGGGCAGGGCCACGGGGACCAGCGGAAGAGUCCAGCCCUCCAGGACCAGCGCAGGGGGGACAGUCACCAACCCCAGGGCUGGAGGGAAGCAGCAGGGGAGGUCCCCAGCAAAUGAAAAAGAAGUCACCAAGGGGGCACCUGACCCUGACCUUGAGAGCAAUGACAUUCGAUCAGAAAGAAGUCGACCAGAUGAGCUUUCAGACGGGACCUGUGCUUGGACAGUGGAGCCCCACCACCUGUUAUAUAGGUCUGGCUGUGUAAUUUUGGGUGCCCGAGACGAUUCUGUACAAGUUCCGGAAUUUCCUCCAAGUGAAUAAGGACACCUGACAUGCCUCCAAGUGACCCUGAAGGGUAAUUGCCAGCCCUUAGCCUGCCUGGCUGAGCAAGGAGGGCGGUGCUGCCGAAUGAGGUGUGAAGAGCCCAGCAAGGCCAUGUGGGAGCCUUGCUGGAGAACAUUGGUCUUCACAGAUGGGCCCUGCUGGGCCAGAAGGGGGAUGUACACGGCACGUGGGCACACCCACACCCACACAACACGUGUAGGUCACAGCCCAUCGCUUGCUUGUCACCUCCCCAAUCAGCUUCUAAAUCUCCCUACUUGUAAGAAGUGAUUACAAUCAGAAAGAUCUGAUUCAAAUUCCAAUUCAAAACCCCAAUUUAUAUUAUUAUGAAAAUAAUCUGUGGACUUGAGUUCUCAAAAAUUGUAUUUAUCUGUUUAAUUCUGGUUGCACUGGGUCUCUGUUGCGGUGCGCUGGCUUCUCAUUGUGGUGGCUUCUCUGGUGGGGCACAGGCUCUAGGGUGUGGGCUCUGUAACUAUGGCACAGAGGCUCAGUUGCCCCGUGGCAUGUGGAAUCUUCCUGGACCAGGGAUCAAACCCGUGUCCCCUGCAUUGGAGUCAGAUUCUUAUCCACUGUACCACCAGGGAAGUACUCUCUGGACUUGAUUUUUCACUAGAUUUUUAACUAUUGCAAAUAGAAUGCCAGUACUUCUGAUGGAUGACUCACAGGCCCAUGUCCGACUCACAUGCCCCAGGGGAACCUCUUUCAAUUAUUUUGUGUGUGUGUGAGAGACCUUCAUAUUUAUGGAAAUUAUGCUUAUGUUGUUAUUUCUUGAGUUUUCAGUUCGACGUAUUAUCAACUAUCUCCCUUCUAUGACAGAUGAGAAUUUAGCAACCUUACUUGCCUCUCCCAAAACAUAUUUUCCCUUUUCAGUUCAGUUCAGAAGCUCAGUCGUGUCCGACUCUUUGCGACCCCAUGAACCGCAGCAUGCUAGGC